CCAAUAGCGUAUAUUAAAGUUGUUGCAGUUAAAAAGCUCGUAGUUGAAUUUCGGAAUCAAUAUAUCGGUCGUGCCUCUGGUACGCACUUAUUUAUUGAUUUCUCACUUCUGACGAAUCAUAAUGUCAUUAGUUUGGUGUUAUGAGGAAUCAGGACUGUUACUUUGAAAAAAUUAGAGUGUUUAAAGCAGGCUCGCGCUUGAAUACAUUAGCAUGGAAUAAUGAAAUAGGAUGUUUGAUCUUAUUUUGUUGGUUUCUAGGAUCGACAUAAUGAUUAAUAGGGAUAGUUGGGGGCAUUAGUAUUCAAUUGUCAGAGGUGAAAUUCUUGGAUUUAUUGAAGACUAACUACUGCGAAAGCAUUUGCCAAGGAUGUUUUCAUUAAUCAAGAACGAAAGUUAGGGGAUCUAAGACGAUCAGAUACCGUCGUAGUCUUAACCAUAAACUAAGCCGACUAGGGAUCGGAUGAUGUUAUUUUUUAAUGACUCAUUCGGCACCUUACG
rnacentral:misc_RNA from 1 species